rnacentral:rRNA from 1 species
UGGGGAAUUUUGGACAAUGGGCGAAAGCCUGAUCCAGCAAUGCCGCGUGUGUGAAGAAGGCCUUCGGGUUGUAAAGCACUUUUGUCCGGAAAGAAAUCCUUGGCUCUAAUACAGUCGGGGGAUGACGGUACCGGAAGAAUAAGCACCGGCUAACUACGUGCCAGCAGCCGCGGUAAUACGUAGGGUGCAAGCGUUAAUCGAAUUACUGGGCGUAAAGCGUGCGCAGGCGGUUUGCUAAGACCGAUGUGAAAUCCCCGGGCUCAACCUGGGAACUGCAUUGGUGACUGGGCAGGCUAGAGUAUGGCAGGAGGGGGGUAAAUUCCACGUGUGAGCAGUGAAAUGCGUAGAGAUGUGGAGGAAUACCG